UACGGAGGAUGCAAGCGUUAUCCGGAAUCAUUGGGCGUAAAGCGUCCGUAGGUGGCGUUUCAAGUCUGCGGUCAAAGCACAAGGCUUAACCUUGUAAAGGCCGUGGAAACUGAAAAAGCUAGAGUGCGGUAGGGGUAGAGGGAAUUCCCAGUGUAGCGGUGAAAUGGCGUAGAGAUUGGGAAGAACACCGGUGGCGAAAGACGCUACUACGUGGGCCUGCACUGACAGCUGGAGGGACCGAAAGCUAGGGAGCGAAAGGG
rnacentral:rRNA from 1 species